ensembl:lncRNA
GACAUAGAAAGGAUGUGGAUCAAUUGCUGCUUCUCAGAGUGCAGUCAACAGGAACAGAAUCUGAUAAGCCAGUCCAGGAAGACCAUCAAUGGAUUGAUUACACUUUAACAUCACUAGCAUGUGAAGAGUGAUUUUGGAGCAGAAGAGGACGCAGGGGAUGGCAAAGAAAGAGCAGCUAACUGCACUGUGUUGUUACAAAAACUGGAGCUUUAUUAUAUACUUGCACUUAAGCAACAACAUGAAGAAAAGAAGCUUACCGGACAGAAAACAUAACCCACACAAAGAAAGGAGGAUGAAGUCACACCUUUUUUGUUUCUGCAAGAAAAGACAAAACAAGAACAACAACAACAACAACAAAGAAGGAACUGAGAUGGAGGAAAUUGUUGUUGGAGGUAUCCCGUGAGUGCACAUGUACUAUUGACUCUCCAAAGAGUUCUUGGAUGAACAAGUUAAUAGGUACAGAGAAUAAGUCUGGGGAGGCUAAGAGGAUUUGCACCACCUCCUAUCCAUGCUGGAGGAGAGCAUCCUACUUCCUGUGGUGGGAUACUGCAGCUUCACAGUGCAGAGUCAAAAGCGGGAGAUAAAGACAGGCACUUUAUCAAAAUUCAUAGAGUGGAAACUCAGUCAUGGAAUAAUGAAUGUCUGUGUUUUAUUGCUCCAGAAUUACCCAUCUUUAAUGUCUCGUGGGGUGAUUGGGUCCCACGAAAGUCAUGAACACACCUGAAUCCAGAUUGCCUUGUGUUUUUUGUUUUGUUUUGUUUUGUUUGUUUGUUUGUCUUUUUUUUUUUUUAUGGUCCUACGCCAAUUUCCUGAGCUCAGAAUUGCUGCUGACGUACAAAUAAAUAAGAGUUUCUAGCCCA